rnacentral:rRNA from 1 species
UACAGAGGUCCCGAGCGUUUGUUCGGAUUCACUGGGCGUAAAGGGUGCGUAGGUGGCAGGGUAAGUUUGAUGUGAAAUCUCCGGGCUUAACCCGGAAACUGCAUUGAAUACUAUCCUGCUCGAGGGUUGGAGGGGGACUGGAAUUCUCGGUGUAGCAGUGAAAUGCGUAGAUAUCGAGAGGAACACCAGUGGCGAAGGCGAGUCCCUGGACAACUCCUGACACUGAGGCACGAAAGCUAGGGGAGCAAACAGG